rnacentral:rRNA from 1 species
AUACGGGAGGCAGCAGUGGGGAAUAUUGGUCAAUGGACGCAAGUCUGAACCAGCCAUGCCGCGUGCAGGAUGACGGUCCUAUGGAUUGUAAACUGCUUUUGUACGAGAAGAAACACUCCAACGUGUUGGAGCUUGACGGUAUCGUAAGAAUAAGGAUCGGCUAACUCCGUGCCAGCAGCCGCGGUAAUACGGAGGAUCCAAGCGUUAUCCGGAAUCAUUGGGUUUAAAGGGUCCGUAGGCGGUCAGAUAAGUCAGUGGUGAAAGCCCAUCGCUCAACGGUGGAACGGCCAUUGAUACUGUCUGACUUGAAUUAUUAGGAAGUAACUAGAAUAUGUAGUGUAGCGGUGAAAUGCUUAGAGAUUACAUGGAAUACCAAUUGCGAAGGCAGGUUACUACUAAUGGAUUGACGCUGAUGGACGAAAGCGUGGGUAGCGAACAGGAUUAGAUACCCCAGUAGUCGU